UGGGGAAUUUUGGACAAUGGGGGAAACCCUGAUCCAGCCAUCCCGCGUGUGCGAUGAAGGCCUUCGGGUUGUAAAGCACUCUUGGCAGGAAAGAAACGUCAUGGGUUAAUACCCCGUGAAACUGACGGUACCUGCAGAAUAGGCACCGGCUAACUACGUGCCAGCAGCCGCGGUAAUACGUAGGGUGCAAGCGUUAAUCGGAAUUACUGGGCGUAAAGCGUGCGCAGGCGGUUCGGAAAGAAAGAUGUGAAAUCCCAGAGCUCAACUUUGGAACUGCAUUUUUAACUACCGGGCUAGAGUGUGUCAGAGGGAGGUGGAAUUACGCGUGUAGCAGUGAAAUGCGUAGAUAUGCGGAGGAACACCGAUGGCGAAGGCAGCCUCCUGGGAUAACACUGACGCUAAUGCACGAAAGCGUGGGGAGCAAACAGG
rnacentral:rRNA from 1 species